rnacentral:lncRNA from 1 species
GUCAUAUAUCAAAAGGCAGUAUAAGGGGGGUACAGAAUAAAGAAGGGAAGGUGGGGAAGGAUGUAGGCAACGUUGUUUACACGUAAAUUGUUUUCGUCUCGGAUAUGUACAGUAUAUGUUUCACAUUUCACAUCACUUGUUCCACAUUUCAAAUGUUAGCGUAUACAAUAUUACCCAUUACACUUUAAACGGUCAUGUUUUCCCAAUCCGUAUUUGCUGCCUGUCUCUGAGUCGCAGGUGUGGUAUGGAGUACUGGUCGUAACAUCGCCACUGUUGUGGUUGGAUCCGUGGGUGAAUUGCUUUACGGCACGUGUAUUGUGUCAUUCUCUCUUAUCCCUUGCGUGUUGUUCUGGCCCCCUGUCCCUGCGUACUGGUCUCCUUAGGGGAGACUGGGUUUUACCCCCACAGGAUCUUGCGUACUGUGGUUGCUUGGUAGCGUCUGGGCUGGGAGUACAUGAGCCACUAGCGGGAUGCUCACUAGAGCGGUUAUCUAUAUACACUUACACAUAUUGAGUUGUAGCGCAAAAAAUGGAGUGGGGGGGUGGGGGUAGGGUGUGCUGAAAAGUGAAGGGAAGGGUUUAAGGGAAGGAAAGGGAAGAGAUUCCGUGUAUGGAUCUCUUGAACCGGUGCUCCUCUUUGUCCUCUCCCUAGACCUAUGUUCCUAGUUGCUAGUUCCGCCUCUCUACCUCUAGUGUAUCAUCGACUCUAUGCGUUAGGACCUCCUCCCGGGUCAAGUCACCUACGUUCCCUGUCUCUCUUGCUUUGGUUCUCUACUCAAGCCUUCGUGUCUUAGCGUACCUAUACGUCUUGAGUCCCAGAGUGGUGUGCACUUUUCUGAAUGUAAUUUGCCCAUUUGAUUUUUGUGUCUAUGAUCGUGCGGUUAUUUGUAAUGUAUUUAUUUGCCAUAGCUUCAUAUUCCCAGUUUGUGGAUAUUUGUGUUAGGAGAUCGUGUCUGCUGGGCGCUCGUGGUUGUUUCCACUGUCUGGCUAUCAGGGUUACUGCCGCUAUAAGCACCUGGAAUAUCAAUUGUCUUUCCUGCUUGCGCCAGAGGGCAAGAUGCAUGAAUAGUAUACCCUGUUCAGGUCCCAAGCUGUAUGGGCGGCCUAUUACGUCAGUGAUUAUCCCCUCCACCAUCUCCCAGUAGGGAGUGAUUAUCGGGCACGUCCACCAAAUGUGGUACAUUGUUCCCCUUUCUCCGCAACCCCUCCAGCAUUCCCCUGAGCUUCCCGGGUAUAUUUUUGCUAGUUUGUCUGGGACCAUAUACCAUCUGUACAUAAUUUUCCUCAUUGUUUCUAGGUGGGUCGCGCAUGAUGUGUGUCCUUUGUGUGUUUGGAAUGCCUGUUUCCAGUCUAGGUCCGCUAUUGGUCGCCCUAUGUCCUUCUGCCAGGCUUCUCUAAAGUCUCCGUGUCCAUUUGUAUCUACUGUAUUCAGUAGCGCAUAAAGUUUUGACAGGAUUUUUUUGGGUAUACUGCCCUGUAAGCAUAUUUGUUCUAAGGCACCAAUGUUUGGCGGUUCGGUGCCCGAAUCUUUACCGUGUGAGGCCACAAAUGAUUUCAGUUGGAGGUAAGGGAAUAUGUGUCUGGAGUGCAAGGAGAACUUGGUUUGCAGUGUCGGGAAUGGCAGUAACUCGUUGUUCACGCAGAUCUGGCUAAGGUGGGUACAACCCCCUCUCACCCAGGGAGCGUGGUCAAACGUCGGUAUGCCCACCGAUAUGCUCGUGAGUGGGAUGUUCCUUAUGUUUGGUCCGACCAUGCCCAGUGAUGCCCUCACUGCGUCCCAUGUCUUGAUCAUUGCUGCCGUGGUUGGUAACAUGGUUGUGUACGGCGGUCGUAAUCUGUGCGGCAGCUGGUAUAAGUGUCGCAGCCCCUGUUUGCAUGCCCAGUGUGCUUCUAUGUGGACCCACUGGGGGGGGUCUUCUACUACGUUUGUCGCUGCUGUGGCAGUCAGCAGUGUGGCUCUGUGGUAAGAACGAAUGUUGGGCAUGCCCAAUCCCCCUUCUUUAACAGGUUUUUGUAAGAGUUUGCUGGCUACCCUCACCUUGCGGUUGGCCCACACAAACCGUACGAUCAGUUUUUGAAUUGUGCUCACAUAUAGACCUGGCAGACUAAUCGGGACUGUGCGCAGCAGAUAUUGGAGUUUGGGAAGUAUAGACAUCUUAAUCGCCGCCAGUCUGCCCAGCCAUGAGAGAUAUUUGCCCUCCCAUGUGUGUAACGUGUCUGUAAAUGAUUUGAUCAGUUUGGUAAAGUUUAGCUUGAACAAAUGGGGUAGGUGGGGGGGUAUAUGUACGCCCAAGAAGGUAAUAUAAUCUUUUCUCCAGUCAAAGGAGAAAAGCCCACUCAAGUGUUUCAGCCGAUAAGAUUGGACUCCCACUCCCAUAGCCUGUGAUUUAGUGACAUUCAAUUUGUAAUAGGAGUUAAGGCCGUAUUCUUUAAUGUCCUUCAUAAGGUUCGGUAGUGAAAUUUGGGGUUGCGUUAAUGUCAACAUGACAUCGUCCGCAAACAAAUUGAUUUUGUAUUCCCUAUCGCCCACUGUUACUCCAUGUAUGGAGCUGUUGGCCCGUAUUGUCUCUGCUAACGGCUCUAAAGCCAACACAUAUAGUAAGGGAGAGAGUGGGCAUCCCUGCCUCGUCCCGUUGGUGAUGUUAAAGGGUUCCGAUGUGAAGCCCGCAGUGACCACCUGAGCCGAUGGUUUGCUGUAUAAGGCCUCCACCGCCGAGCAGAAUGCCCUCGGCAUCCCAAACUUAUCCAGGACCGCUUUCAGGAACAUCCAGCUCAGGCGGUCGAAGGCCUUCUCCGCGUCCAAUGAAAGCGUUACACAUUCUGUUUGUUGCCUGUGUACGCUGUGUAUAAUGUCGAUGACCUUUCUCGUGUUGUCCCCCCCUUGUCUCCCUUUAACAAAUCCGACUUGAUCAUUCCUUAUCAGGUGCGGGAGGAUUGUGCCCAACCUAAUGGCGUAAAUUUUCGCGAAGAGUUUUGUGUCAGUGUUUAGCAACGAUAUUGGUCGAAAAUUUUGUGGGUGGAUUGGUGGUUUGCCCGGUUUAGGCAAUGUUAUGAUAUGGGCUUUGAGGGCUUCUGGCGGGAGUGCGUGCCUCUUGGCUGCUUCAUUAAACGCGUUAGUAAGGUGAGGGGCUAGGGUUUUUUGGAAGUGCUUGUAGUAACAGUUGGCAAACCCGUCUGGGCCUGGGGCUUUAUCGGAAGGUAGAGAGUCAAUUGCUCUCACCACCUCUGUUUCUGUUAUCAAUGUGGCUAGGCUGUCUUGUUGAGCGGGUGUGAGUUUGGGCAGUGCG